UACCUGCAGCUCAAGUGGUAACCGUUAUUAUUGGGCCUAAAGCGUCCGUAGCCGGUUUGGUAAAUAUCUGGGUAAAUCGUGAGGCUUAACUUCACGAAUUUCGGAUAGACUGCCAGACUUGGGAUCGGGGGAGGUCAGAGGUACUCCAGGGGUAGCGGUGGAAUGUUGUAAUCCUUGGAGGACCACCGGUAGCGAAGGCGUCUGACUAGAACGAGUCCGACGGUGAGGGACGAAGCCCUGGGGCGCAAACCGGAUUAGAUACCCGGGUAGUCCAGGGUGUAAACGAUGUGGGCUUUGUAUUGGAGGUCCCACGUGGGCGUCCAGUGCAGAAGAGAAGUUGUUAAGCCCACCGCCUGGGAAGUACGGUCGCAAGGCUGAAACUUAAAGGAAUUGGCGGGGGAGCACAGCAACGGGUGGAGCGUGCGGUUU
rnacentral:rRNA from 1 species